rnacentral:rRNA from 1 species
AGUGAACGCUGGCGGCGUGCUAAUACAUGCAAGUCGAACGGAAUUUAAAAGAGCUUGCUCUUUUGAAUUUAGUGGCGCACGGGUGAGUAAUAUAUAGCUAAUCUGCCCCUUGCUGGAGGACAACAGUUAGAAAUGACUGCUAAUACUCCAUACUCCUUUUUACCAUAAGAUAAAUCGGGAAAGAAUUUCGGCAAGGGAUGAGACUAUAUCGUAUCAGCUAGUCGGUGGGGUAACGGCCUACCGAGGCCAUGACGCGUAACUGGUCUGAGAGGAUGAUCAGUCACAUUGGAACUGAGACACGGUCCAAACUCCUACGGGAGGCAGCAGUAGGGAAUAUUGCGCAAUGGGGGAAACCCUGACGCAGCAACGCCGCGUGGAGGAUGACACUUUUCGGAGCGUAAACUCCUUUUGUUAGGGAAGAAUAAUGACGGUACCUAACGAAUAAGCACCGGCUAA